AAAACUUUCAACAACGGAUCUCUUGGUUCUGGCAUCGAUGAAGAACGCAGCAAAAUGCGAUAAGUAAUGUGAAUUGCAGAAUUCAGUGAAUCAUCGAAUCUUUGAACGCACAUUGCGCCCGCCAGUAUUCUGGCGGGCAUGCCUGUUCGAGC
rnacentral:rRNA from 1 species